GAUGAACGCUGGCGGCGUGCCUAAUACAUGCAAGUCGAGCGAACAGAUGAGGAGCUUGCUCCUCUGACGUUAGCGGCGGACGGGUGAGUAACACGUGGAUAACCUACCUAUAAGACUGGAAUAACCUCGGGAAACCGGAGCUAAUACCGGAUAAUAUAUUGAACCGCAUGGUUCAAUAGUGAAAGACGGUUUUGCUGUCACUUAUAGAUGGAUCCGCGCCGCAUUAGCUAGUUGGUAAGGUAACGGCUUACCAAGGCAACGAUGCGUAGCCGACCUGAGAGGGUGAUCGGCCACACUGGAACUGAGACACGGUCCAGACUCCUACGGGAGGCAGCAGUAGGGAAUCUUCCGCAAUGGGCGAAAGCCUGACGGAGCAACGCCGCGUGAGUGAUGAAGGUCUUCGGAUCGUAAAACUCUGUUAUUAGGGAAGAACAAAUGUGUAAGUAACUAUGCACGUCUUGACGGUACCUAAUCAGAAAGCCACGGCUAACUACGUG
rnacentral:rRNA from 1 species